AGAAGAAGAAGAAGAUGAAGAUGCUUGCUUUUGUUUUGUAAAGAAGGUUCUGGAACUUUCAGGUUUCCUCGAAAACGAACACAACGUAGAAAAAUGUCACUCAGAGGAACAACCACUGAACCCAUCACUGCUCUACGAACUCGAUAUACAAGAAGAAGCAGUGAACAGAGAGCUUCUCUUUGAUUUGGUAAACGAAGCAAUCGCUGAGUCUCACAGCCAAUCACACAUCUAUUUCCCUAAAACAUUAGCGUUUGCAUUUCCAAAUGGGAAACGUUUUCUUGAAGAGGUGUGGGGAAGAGUUGAGUGGAGCCUCUCUGGGUUAGGAGCUGAGAAUAGAGAUCGUUCAUUGGACGAUAUUGUGGGAAGAGAUCUUACGAAGGGUGAUGGAUGGAUGAAUCUACGAGCUGAAUCUGAAUGGCUGACUCUUGAGCUUGAAGAUCUGAUUUUUGAUGACGUUUUAGAUGAAUUGCUUAGUGAAUGUUAGUCUUUUGGAAUGUCUCAGUCAGUUUUUUUUUUUAAUAUGUAUACAUGUAUAUAAGUGUUUGAUACAAAUUCAAGAUUUCUAAUUUCUGAGAGGAACAGCUGAUUGGCAAACAUGAUUCCAUGAUUUUGCAUGUUUUUUUUCACCACUCACAAUUUUUUGCUGAAUUAAUCAAUUUUUUACAAUAAACUAUAUCAUGCCAAAAAUAAGAAUCCCAAGUUUUUAGUAACACUGCUAAAUACGUCAUGCGCAAAACAAAAAAAAUAUAACGGGCCUUGCCAAAAAAUAAAUGUAACGAGUUUUUAGUUCCUCUUUUGGGCCGAGCCCAUCACUUUAAACCCUCGACCUCCGUCUUUCUCUUUCUUCACCGACAACCACCACGGCGACAAAUCCCCGAUCGAUCAAUUUCCUCGGCGGGAUACCAUCCUGUGUCUCCUCGUUGCUUAUCUCACUGUAACUCUCUUUUUUAGCUCGCCGGAGAACUGUCGGAGAUAAGUUGAUGUGGCUGAGCCGGGCGGUUCCCGUUCGAUAUUUGGGAUCCUAUCGAAGAACUCAAAAACCGCCAUGGAUGAGAUAUCCUGUUGUCUUCUACUCAGAUUAUACGGAGAAGAAAGAAAAAGUCGCGCCUAUGCAGGUUCGAUUCAUCAUCUAUUCACUUCAUCCACAAACACCCAAAACAAAACCCUCUCUGUUGCUCUUUUUUUUUUCCUAAAGAAUUUGUGAACUCUAAGUUGUGCAGGAGACUAGAAUGAGAGAUAGGUUUACGCUGUACGCAAGAGGCGGUGAAGGUGGCAGUGGUUGUUCCAGCGUCCGCCGGAGCCGUACCGAUCGCUACGGAAAACCUGAUGGUACUAUCCCGAAUUGAUGAUACAGAAAUGUUAUGUACUAUAAUCCAUACUCAUGUUCUAGAUUUUGUAUAGUUAGAACUAGAGUGCUGUUUUAGUGGAUGUAUCUGACAUGGAAAGAAUUUUCGAAGGUUGUAAAACAUGGAUUGUUCGAAGAAUGUUGAUGUUAAUUUAAAUUGAAAUUAGUUCAGGUGGAAAUGGUGGGAGAGGAGGUGAUGUGAUCUUAGAAUGCACACACGCAGUUUGGGAUUUCAGCGGAUUACAACCCCAUGUUGUAAGUUUACGCCUUUUUUUGGUGUGUGGGUCUUUGAAGGAAGAUGCAAUUCGCGUCGAAACCGAUUAUAUUAUCUAACUUUUAUGAGUUUUGCAGAAAGGUGGGAAAGCUGGACAAGGAACUUCCAAGAACAGGAUUGGAAACAGAGGAGAAGACAAGGUUUUGUUUUCUCUCAUUGGCGUUUCUCUGCUUCUUUCUUUUUAUCUUGGGGGAACUAAAAACAUCAUUUCGCAUUUUUGUGUCACACCACAGGUCCUGCAAGUGCCUAUUGGGACGGUUAUUCAUCUUCAAGAGGGUGAGAUUCCAUCUCAGGUUCAAGUUGACUCUCCCAAAGAUUUGGAUCCAUGGGACCUUCCUGGUACACUGGUUGAGGAUCCUGCAUCCGAGGAGAACCCUGAUCUUCAUCAAGAAAUUACGCAACACUCUGUUCAAGUUGAACCUGAGAAAGAAAGUGUAAAAAGACAUGUAGGCACGCCAGAGGAAUUUGAUUUUGAAGACGAUGAAGGAGACAUCGAUCAAGUCAAGUAUAAUGUUGCGGAAUUAACAGAACAAGGUCAGAGAUUAAUCAUUGCUCGUGGUGGUGAAGGCGGUUUGGGUAGUGUUUCCGCAACACGUUAUGUAAGAGGCACCAAGUUCGGUAAAACAGCGAUCCGUCAAAACAAGUUGAGGAGCAUGGAGGACGAAGCUGAUGAUGAGGAUGAUGAUGAUGAUGAUAAUGAACACUCGAGUAUUAAAUCUGGUUCCCUCGGUUCCGAGGCUGUCCUGAUAUUAGAACUCAAGAGCAUUGCUGAUGUUGGACUUGUCGGGAUGCCAAACGCCGGGAAAAGCACGCUUCUUGGUGCGUUAUCACGUGCUAAGCCCCGCGUAGGCCAUUACGCGUUCACGACGCUUCGUCCCAAUUUGGGGAACGUAACCUACGAUGACUUCUCCAUGACGGUAGCGGAUAUUCCGGGGCUCAUAAAAGGAGCUCAUCAGAACCGAGGGCUAGGGCAUAACUUUCUCCGCCACAUCGAACGUACCAAAGUGUUGGCUUACGUUGUGGAUUUAGCAUCGGGGCUAGACGGUUGCAAGGGAGUUACACCGUGGCAACAACUGAGAGAUUUGGUGAUGGAGCUUGAGUUCCAUGAAGAAGGGUUAUCGGAUAGGUCGUCUGUGAUCGUGGCGAAUAAGAUCGAUGAGAAUGGCGCGGAUGAGAGAUUGGAACAACUUGAGAGGAGAGUGAAAGGAGUGAGGAUAUUUCCGGUUUGUGCGGUUCUUGAAGAAGGUGUGGCUGAGCUUAAAGAUGGUUUGAAAAUGCUUGUAAACGAUGAUCGUGAGGGAUCGGAGAGACUAAAAUUGGAGAAUAUCUGUGUUGACUAGUUGAGUUUUACUUGUUGUCAAGUAUCCAAUCAAAUUUUCAGAUUUUAGGUUCUCUUGAAAAAUAGGAGAACAUUUCUUCACUUUUAUUUUAUCUUUGCAAUAUUUAUGAAAAAACACAAACUUUUCUGUUAAGUGAAUGUACACAAAUUCUACUGUCGAAAAAUUAACUUGAAUCAAAAAAGUAAAAACUCAAUGAAAACUGCAAUUAUUCCAAAAACAUUAUCCAUCAGUCCAUCCAUGUCUAUCAGAAUCCGAACAAUAAAAUUGAAAAGAAAUGUCAGUACCACUUUUGAAAAUAUAGGCCAAAUUAUUACGUAAACGAGGGGGCACGUAGGAAGUCUAAAAAGAGUUUUGGAUUUGUGAUGGAAAAAGAGGGCCAAUUAAAGUGAAUUCACCAAUUCAGGACCUUGAAGGGGCAAGAAAAAGCCAACGACCUCACCCUACUUAAUGUGUUCCCUAUUCCUUUUUAUUUUCUUUUAGCCAGAGACUUGACCCAAACAAUAUUGUGUGGUUCUUGCUUCUUCUUUUUUGGCGCUCCUCAACAUCACUAAGGGGAAAAGUUUAUACCUAUCUUACUUUCGGCAUCGGACACAAAAAUAGGCCUUGUUCAGAAGUGAUUCAAAAUACCAUAUCACAAAUCCAUAAACUUCGAUGCCGAUGUGAUCCAAAACUGUCUUUGAGAAAGUUUACGUUAUUUAGAAUUGUCGCUAUUAGUAGCAGGGACUGCAACAUACUUGAUCUGAGGGGAAAAAAACCCCAUAUAUAAGAUCAUGAGGGAAAUACACCAUGGUACACACAAUUGCUAAAAGAAAGUACACUAUAUUCAAUUUUGCACUAGAUAUAAGGGGAAAAAUACCAUGUAUAAAAUCAUGGGUUGCAUUUAUUUUCAACUGUCAGUUAAAUUGAGAUUAAAUCUUGUGGUUUUUACAUGAUAUCAACGUUCUCUUAAUCCAGAUGGAAAUUUAUCCUUUUUUGUUUGUCAACAAACAAAUUUUUAUCAUAAUAUUGAUAAGUAGUAGAAAGAACGUAGACAGUAUCUUGGGUUGUCAAAUGGCUACAUGAGGAUUACUAAAAAGAGGAUACUAACUAUGUACUAAUCUCUUGGUAAUAUAAAAUAAAUUAACAGAAGAUAAUAUAUCUCACUAAAUAAGUUUCCAGGACGUAUAAGAUAACAAUAGUUUACGACUUGGAUAAAGAAAGGAUGUUGUAUUAUAUAUAUUAAGAGUCUUACCAAAAAAAAUAUAUUAAGAGGAGGAACAACAUCCUCGUGAUAAAGACAUUAGCUAUUGUCAAAGACAUAAUAUAUAUUAAGCUUGAGUUCCUCCUCUUAACGGAGGAUAAUAUAUCUCACGAAGUUUGUCUUGACAAAAUUAUUGAUCUAGCAAGUUGCUCCUUGUGAUAAAGACAUUAUAUAUAUAUAUAUAUAUAUAUAUUGUAAUAAAACAAGUAUAUAUUAAGCAGAUGAAAGAGGCAUGCUUUAUGCCUCUUUUUUUGGUCGGCUGCCGUUUACUAAUAAAAUCGUAACUCUUGUAGCGUGUACGACCUUUUCCUUAUUCCAUAAUAAUUUGACGUUCUCCAUUUUACACGAUACUCUAAUUUCUUGCUGAAACUCAAAUAAAAUGUUAAUACAUUCUUGAAGCCAUUAGAACAAUCUAGAUAACCGAAAAUACUGGGCAAGUGAUGUUGUUUACGUAAUUAAGAAAAAGUUGAUGUUAUUCCGAAAAUACUGGGCAAGUGAUGCUCAGCUGCAUUUAUAGAAGAAACCGACAUAUAAUUUAAUGAUUACAUCAUCUAAAACAAAUUUUUAUCUCUUUUAGCCACUUCAUUUAAACAAUUUUUUUUUACACAAUAAUGUUUUAAUUUAAGACAACAGUAAUAAGAUUCUGUAUACAAAUUUUAAGGUUUAAAUUAAAAUAAAUAGCAAUUUUUUUAAUUAACACAAGAUGUGAUGAUCUCUCUGUUGAAAACUUGAAAUGCUCUUUGUGGUAACUUCUUCCAAAAGCAUUUCUAUUGAAAUUAUCCAAACACGAAAUGACACGUGUAUGGUGGAUAGAAAACCGAAUCUUUCUCUCCUCCUAUAAAUAGUGGUCAUUCCCUUUGUUCAAAUCACACAGCACAUAAAGAAGAACAAGAAGAAAAACAAAUUACAAAUUCAAAUCAAAGAGAAGUAAGAGAAGCAAUGGCAGGUUCUAACUGUGGAUGUGGCUCCGCUUGCAAAUGUGGUGACUCUUGCAGGUAACCCUUUAUUCUACCUUCUUUACCUUUACUUGCAUAUACGCAUGUGGUUGCUUUCUCCUUAAUUUUUUUUUGGCUUAAAUUUCAUCUUAUUAAUUACUGAAAUUUCAAAUAUUUGUUUUUUGUUUUUUUGUUUGGUGAAGUUGCGAGAAGAACUACAACACGGAGUGCGACAACUGCAGCUGUGGAUCAAACUGCAGCUGUGGGUCAAACUGUAGCUGUUGAAGGGAUUGUGGUGCAUAUCACAUAUUUGCAGGAAAACUGGGGGAAAAAAUUGUGUUUGAUGUUAAGAGAUUUGUGUGUGUUUGAAUAAUGACUUGGCAUGGUGUUGCGUAAUAACUCUCUUAACCUUGACUUUUUCCUGCUUUGUAUUUUUCUAUGUGUUGAAUGGUGUGAUUGUGUAAUGUUUUAAUUUGUAACCUAAGAACAAAAAAAAAGAAUAUAUAUUGACUAUUGUGAUUAUUAAGAUUUGUCUAUAUCUCCUCUCUCCAUAGUAGAGUAUAGGGUAGGGUUACUCAGCUAAAUGACCCAUGUAAAGUUGUUUAUUUUUAGAUAAAUGACCAAAUGGUAAAGAUACUGUA
rnacentral:lncRNA from 1 species